GCGGGCGUAGCUUAGCGGUAAAGCGCCGGCCCACCCCAUACAAUAGCAACUAGGGUGAUCACCUAGUGCUAGGGGCAUUAAGCCGGGACACGGGCUGGCCACCCGUUUCACGUGGGUUCGAAUCCCACCGUCCGCC
rnacentral:tRNA from 1 species